GCCACAAUAGCUCAGUUGGUAGAGCGCGACAUUGGUAAUGUCGAGGUCCUGAGUUCAACUCUCAGUUGUGGCU
rnacentral:tRNA from 1 species